UAGUCCACGCCGUAAACGAUGAUUACUCGAUGUUCGAUUCCUUGUGGAUUGAGCGUCCAAGCGAAAGCGUUAAGUAAUCCACCUGGGAAGUACGGUCGCAAGGCUGAAACUCAAAGGAAUUGGCGGGGGUCCGCACAAGCGGUGGAGUAUGUGGUUUAAUUCGAUGAUAAGCGAGGAACCUUACCCAGACUAAAUCCUAGACGACAGACCCAGAAAGGGGUUUUUCUUCGGACGGCUAGGAAGGUGCUGCAUGGUUGUCGUCAGCUCGUGCCGUGAGGUGUUGGGUUAAGUCCCGCAACGAGCGCAACCCUUACCUUUAGUUGCCAGCACAUAAUGGUGGGAACUCUAGAGGAACUGCCUUCGUAAGGAGGAGGAAGGUGGGGAUGACGUCAAAUCAUCAUGGCCCUUACGUCUGGGGCUACACACGUACUACAAUGGUCGGUACAAAGGGUUGCUACCUGGUGACAGGAUGCCAAUCUCUAAAAGCCGAUCUCAGUUCGGAUCGUAGUCUGCAACUCGACUA
rnacentral:rRNA from 1 species